GCCUUUGUGGUGUAGUGGUCAGCACGCUGGGUGCGUAUUCCAGAGGUCCGUGGUUCGAGUCCCGGUGAAGGCG
rnacentral:tRNA from 1 species